rnacentral:rRNA from 1 species
AAAUUGAAGAGUUUGAUCAUGGCUCAGAUUGAACGCUGGCGGCAGGCCUAACACAUGCAAGUCGAGCGGUAGCACAGAGAGCUUGCUCUCGGGUGACGAGCGGCGGACGGGUGAGUAAUGUCUGGGAAACUGCCUGAUGGAGGGGGAUAACUACUGGAAACGGUAGCUAAUACCGCAUAACGUCGCAAGACCAAAGUGGGGGACCUUCGGGCCUCAUGCCAUCAGAUGUGCCCAGAUGGGAUUAGCUAGUAGGUGGGGUAACGGCUCACCUAGGCGACGAUCCCUAGCUGGUCUGAGAGGAUGACCAGCCACACUGGAACUGAGACACGGUCCAGACUCCUACGGGAGGCAGCAGUGGGGAAUAUUGCACAAUGGGCGCAAGCCUGAUGCAGCCAUGCCGCGUGUGUGAAGAAGGCCUUCGGGUUGUAAAGCACUUUCAGCGGGGAGGAAGGCGGUGAGGUUAAUAACCUCACCGAUUGACGUUACCCGCAGAAGAAGCACCGGCUAACUCCGUGCCAGCAGCCGCGGUAAUACGGAGGGUGCAAGCGUUAAUCGGAAUUACUGGGCGUAAAGCGCACGCAGGCGGUCUGUCAAGUCGGAUGUGAAAUCCCCGGGCUCAACCUGGGAACUGCAUUCGAAACUGGCAGGCUAGAGUCUUGUAGAGGGGGUAGAAUUCCAGGUGUAGCGGUGAAAUGCGUAGAGAUCUGGAGGAAUACCGGUGGCGAAGGCGGCCCCCUGGACAAAGACUGACGCUCAGGUGCGAAAGCGUGGGGAGCAAACAGGAUUAGAUACCCUGGUAGUCCACGCUGUAAACGAUGUCGAUUUGGAGGUUGUGCCCUUGAGGCGUGGCUUCCGGAGCUAACGCGUUAAAUCGACCGCCUGGGGAGUACGGCCGCAAGGUUAAAACUCAAAUGAAUUGACGGGGGCCCGCACAAGCGGUGGAGCAUGUGGUUUAAUUCGAUGCAACGCGAAGAACCUUACCUGGUCUUGACAUCCACAGAACUUUCCAGAGAUGGAUUGGUGCCUUCGGGAACUGUGAGACAGGUGCUGCAUGGCUGUCGUCAGCUCGUGUUGUGAAAUGUUGGGUUAAGUCCCGCAACGAGCGCAACCCUUAUCCUUUGUUGCCAGCGGUUAGGCCGGGAACUCAAAGGAGACUGCCAGUGAUAAACUGGAGGAAGGUGGGGAUGACGUCAAGUCAUCAUGGCCCUUACGACCAGGGCUACACACGUGCUACAAUGGCAUAUACAAAGAGAAGCGACCUCGCGAGAGCAAGCGGACCUCAUAAAGUAUGUCGUAGUCCGGAUUGGAGUCUGCAACUCGACUCCAUGAAGUCGGAAUCGCUAGUAAUCGUAGAUCAGAAUGCUACGGUGAAUACGUUCCCGGGCCUUGUACACACCGCCCGUCACACCAUGGGAGUGGGUUGCAAAAGAAGUAGGUAGCUUAACCUUCGGGAGGGCGCUUACCACUUUGUGAUUCAUGACUGGGGUGAAGUCGUAACAAGGUAACCGUAGGGGAACCUGCGGUUGGAUCACCUCCUUA